rnacentral:rRNA from 1 species
AAAGAAAACUCGGUUCUCGUUAGAUCACCGAAGUCAAGCAUCAUUGGGCGCGGUCAGUACUUGGGUGGGUGACCACCUGGGAACACUGCGUGCCGUU